UACGGGGGGAGCAAGCGUUGUUCGGAUCUCCUGGGCGUAAAGGGCGCGUAGGCGGCCACCGCAAGUCGGUUGUGAAAUCUCCGGGCUUAACCCGGAAAGGUCAAUCGAUACUGCGGGGCUAGAGUGCAGAAGGGGCAACUGGAAUUCUCGGUGUAGCGGUGAAAUGCGUAGAUAUCGAGAGGAACACCUGCGGCGAAGGCGGGUUGCUGGGCUGACACUGACGCUGAAGCGCGAAAGCUAGGGGAGCGAACGGG
rnacentral:rRNA from 1 species